GACGGAACCGUGCGAACGUUGUUCGGAAUCACUGGGCUUAAAGGGAGCGUAGGCGGGCUAACAAGUCUGGGGUGAAAUGCCGCGGCUCAACCGUGGAACUGCCUUAGAUACUGUCGGCCUCGAGGGAGAUAGGGGCAUGCGGAACUGUAGGUGGAGCGGUGAAAUGCGUUGAUAUCUACAGGAACUCCGGUGGCGAAAGCGGCGUGCUGGAUCUCUUCUGACCGCUGGAGGCUCGAAAGCUAGGGGAGCAAACGGG
rnacentral:rRNA from 1 species